rnacentral:lncRNA from 1 species
AACAUUCUGCACAUAAUAUUUGUGUUUUUAAUUAUUUGUACGCAAGUGUCAAGAAGGAUGUUGUAUGGAAUGUGUUCAUUUUGUUUUGUUUGAUUUUAAAAAUAAAGUCUAUUCGUCAGUGGAUGGUCAACUUAUUAUGUACUUGAGUUUUAAUUCCACCGUACAAUUAUGAUACUAAUAAAUAAACUUUAUAUCGUGAUAAAAAGUUUAUACCUUUUAUAGCUCUUAGAACUUUUUUAAAAAAUUCUUGAGUUUGAU